UCCCACACUUAGAAAAAGAAAGCAAGAAGUUGAAGAACCAACCAUGGCUCUCGGCUAGCACAUGGAAAAUCAAGAUCAUUUUUUUAGCCUCUCCAAAAUUUAUUCCUUGGUACAAACCCACUAAGUUGAGGUCCCUAAGUAACGUGGAAGCGUUGUUGGAGCGAUCAAGCCAUCAAUUUUGUGGAUUUCAAACCCUAAGCAAAUUGUGGAGUAAAGAAGAAAUACCUUGGGGAGCCCGAGGCGUAGAUUGGAUAUUUACUUUAGAUUGACCAUCUUGGAAUGCGUACGAGGUACAGACGCACAGUUUGGUGAUUCACCAGUUUAGGACAUCCCCUUCUGCUGUUUGGAGUGCUCUUCUCAUUUCAGAACACAUAUGUUGGUAUAUAUAUUUGUUCGCCGAGUAUGUAUAUAUAUUUGUUCAGGGGUACAGCGGGGCCCUGUCCCGCCAUAUGAUUCGUUUGGUCUGUUUAGAGGUCUGUAGACGUAGUUGUGUGUGUGUGUGCCUACUUCUGUUCCGAUGUGUUUGUAUGAUGCUAUUCGUUAUGGCAGCCUUGUCGGCGUGCAUUUGUAUCUGUGUUUUGGGCCGUUGUGCCAAUUGACAGCCUUGUCGGCUUUUGACAUAUUUGACAGCCUUGUCGGUUUUUGACAUAUUUGAUAGCCUUGCCGGCUUUUUGAGAUA